CAAAGAAAUAAUCUCUUGGGAGCUCUAUGGCCCUGCCCAUUGCCUGAGAAACCCAAAUACUUAUCCUGGCGACAAGUUAUCCUAAACUCUCUGUGUGUGUCUGUGUCCUAGAUUAUGGGUACAGAGCAAGCUCAAAUCCCUCCUAUAAUACUAGAGCUGAUGCUUUCUUGAAAGUGUCACCUCCUGGUUGAGGGAAAACCAACUCAAGACAUUACAACAACAAGUCAUAAAAGAACAACCCAGCUCCAAGAAAGGAGAAAACAACUGCUAAUUGCACCACCUGCAACAUUCUGGCUAACCAGGGGUCCUGAGUCUGUCCACAUGACAAUGUCACAGCUAGCACAACCAGCAUUUGAGAAAACCAGUGCACUAAACAAAACUACAACCAAGGAUCCUCAGGGGGCCCCUCAGUGUGAUGUUGGCUGUGGGUUUUUCAUGUACGGCUCUUAUUUUGAGUUUGGAUGCCUAUUAUUUAUCUUGCCUGAUUUCUCUGGCUAGAGCUUCCAGUACUAUCUUGAAUAGAAGUGGUGAGAGUGGGCAUCUUCUUGUCCAGUUCGUCAGCUGGACUCAGUUUGCUAGUAUUUCAUUGAGAAGCCAGGUCACAUGGGUUCCAACUAAGGAAGACACUGAGAAGACAUUGGUGCAAAUCUAGAAGGAUUAUAACAUCUAUGACUGCAUCAAUAACCUUGCUUGGGCUUGGGAUGAUGUGACCAAGGAGUGUAUGUAUGGUAUCUAGAAGAAGACACUCAAGAGGUUCAUCUAUGACUUCAAAGGAUUUUCCAAGAAUGGGGAGGCUGUAAAAAUCAACAAGGCUAUAGUUGAGAUAGCAAGAAACUUUAACUUGGAUGAGGAUGAGGAUGAGGAUGAGGAUGACUCUGAGGAGCUCCUAGAGUGGUUCCUGAAAAACUGACUAAUGAGGAGUUAUUAGAACUGGAACAGCAAUGCAUAGCUUCAGAAGAGGCAACAGAAAAGGAAACUGCAGGAAAAUAAAAAAAAAGAACCCUCAAGAAAAUCCACAGUGAAAGGUUUAUCAUAAGCUCUUGCAAACCUCAAUGAACUCAUUAAAGAUUUUGAAAAGACAGAGAAAGAUGUCCAUGGUGUUCUAUCUGCUUACAAAUUUAUGAUGGAAAAAAAAAAGAAACAAACCAAGCAAAUCGUCAUAGACAUAUUUCUGAAGAGUGACACCUUCUCAAGGGCCUUGGGCAAGUACUUCAGGAGACAUUCUAGAAGAAGCACUAUUGUCAUCGACGAUGACAUCUCCAUGCAUGUUUUUGAGCCUGAAGAUCUUCCAAUGGGACAAGAUGUGGUGGUGAAAGACAGUGAUAUUGAUGACCCUAAUCCUGUGUAGACCUAGGCUAAUGUGUGUGUUUGUGUCUUCAUUUUUAACAAAAAAGUUUUUAAAGUUAAAAAAAUAAAAUAAGAAAAGCUUAUAGAAUAAGAGUAUAAAGAAAGCAAAUAUUUUUGGACAGCUAUAUAGUGUUUUGGGUUUUAAGCUAAGUAUUGUUACAGGAGAGUCAAAAAGUUAAAAAAAGUAAACAGCUUAUAAAGUAAAAAUGUUAUAGAGAGCUAAAGUUAAUUUAUUAUUGAAGAGGAAAAUAUUUUUUCAUAAAUUUAGUGUAGCCUAAAUGUAGAGUAUUUACAAAGUCUACCGUAGUGUGUAGAAUGUCCUAAGCCUUCAUGUUUACUCACCACUCACUCACUGACUCACCCAGAGCAACUUCCAGUUCUUCCAGUUCAAUUUCCAGAUUGCCAAUACCACACAUGGUAAGUGCCCUACACAGGUGUACCAUUUUUUAACUUUUAUACCAUAUUUUUACUAUGUUUAGAUGUUAAAAUGCACAAAUACUUACCAUUGCAUUACAAUUGCCUACCGUAUUCAGUACCGUAACAUGCAGGUUUGUAGCAUAGAACAAUAGGCUGUACCAUAAAGCCUAGAUGGGUAGCAGGCUAUUCAAUCUAGAUUUGUGUAAGUCCACUUUAUGAGGGUCACAUAACGUAAUUGCCUACUGACACAUUUCUCAGAAUGCAUCCCUGUUGUUAAGCAACAUGUGACUGUAUAGAUGAACAAUGAGGGAAAAUUUGCCCCACCAGAUAUUAAAAUAUAUCAAGAAGCUAUAAUAUUUAUUUUUGGUGAUAACACUUACAAUCUACUCUUUUUAUAAUUUUCAACUAUACAAUACAUUGUUUUUAACUAUAGUUACCAUGUUGUACCAUGAUGGAUCUCUUGAAUUUAUUCUUCCUGUCUAACUGAAAUUUUGUAUGCUUUGAUCAAUAUCUCCCCAGUAUCACCCCCUAGUCCCUGGUAACCACCAUUCUACUCUCUACUUCUAUCAGUUUGACUUUCUUAGAUUCCACAUAUAAGUGAGAUCGUAUGGUAUUUAUCUUGAAAAGGUAUAAUAUUUAAGAGAAUUAGAAAUGAAUGCAUAAUCAAAGAAAAAAGCUCACCAUAAUUCCCACUCUAUGUGGUCAGUAACUUUUACCGGUUUCACUGUUGAAUUCCCAUCCCCUAGAUUAGAUAUCAACCUCACACUAUAAGCACACAUGAAUUCCAAAGUUUUAAAGAACUGAACAUAAAAAACAAAACUAUAAAAGAUUAGGAGAAAAUAAAGGAUAACUUUCUAAUAAUCUAAUAAACCUUGGCAUAAGGACAGCCAGUCUAAGGAAGAUGUAAAAUACAGACACCAUGAUGAAAAGAUUUAUACAUUUGACAACUUUAAAGUUAACUUGUAUACACCCAUACAUACAAAUAAAAUGCCACAUGUCACAGACUCGUUGAAAAUAUUUGUGACAUGUACUACAGCCAAAUCUUGAUAUCAAAAACACAAAGAAAGACUACAUUAAAUAAGAAAAAGACAAUCUCAUAGAAAUUGGUAAAGUAUAUGAACAGAGAAUUCAUAAAAGAAAUACAGAUAGCCAAAUAGGAAAAUUUAAAAAUUCCACCUUAGUAGAGACCAGAGAAAAGCAAAUCAAAACUACCGUGAAAUACCACUUUUCUCUCACAAGACCGACAAAAAUUACAUAAUUAGUGAAAUGUAAUAUUGGUAGAGGAGGAAAAACAGUUACUGUCAUAUGUUAUUGGCACAUAUCCAAUUCGGUUAAGCAUUUUUGGAAGUUAAUUUGGUAGAAAUCAAAUAAGAUUGUUCACUUUCUUUAAUCCAACAAUUCCACCUUUAUGUAUCUAUUUUAGAAAAAAAAAAAGAAAAAUAAAUGAGUUAGCCAGGUGGAAAAACUGAGAAGAGGGGCAUUACAAGCAGAUUGAAACAGCAUGAACAGAAGCCCACAUUGAGUACACAGAAAGUUAGAAAUGCUCUGUGAUGGCCAGGUGCGGUGGCUCAUGCCUGUAAUCCCAGCACUUUGGGAGGCCGAGGCAGGCAGAUUGCCUGAGCUCAGGAGUUUGCAACCAGCCUGGGCAACACAGUGAAACCCCGUCUCUAAUAAAAUACAAAAAAUUAGCCAGGCAUGGCGGCAUGUGCCUGUAGUCCCAGCUACUCGGGAGGCUGAGGCAGGAGAGUUGCUUGAACCCAGGAGGUGGAGGUUGCAAUGAGCCGAGAUUGCAUCACUGCACUCCAGCCUGGGUAACAGAGUGAGACUCUGUCUCAAAAUAAAAAAGAAAGAAAGAAAUGCUCUGUGAUACAGAAUGUAAAACUCAAGGCAAGGGUGUUGCAUUAGAGGAAAAUGAUAUGAGGCAGGAAGCAGAUAUGAGGGCCUUGUAUUCCAUUCACAAGUACUAUAGGCAAUGAGGCAUGUGUAAUUAUGAGGGUGAGAGAACUUUCACAAAGGAACCAUGACAACAGGGACUUUACCAAGCUGGGUAGAAAAGGCAUCAAACUAAUGGUGUUCAGUUGGGCAACCCCUGACAAUGUUUCCACUUCAGUGAUGACACCGUUCUCCUCCUUCAUUCAGUACUGAGAUUGCUAAUUCAAAUUACUGACAGUAUAUUGGAUUAAAACAAGGAAGGGCAGAGUGUAGUCAGAAAAACAUAAUGAGGCAAAACAGAAUUCACAGAUCCAAAAAGGAAGCCCAUUUUUCACAAGGUCUAGCAAUCUGAUGAUAUGACAUUAGUGUUUAAGUACCAAGGCUUCUUCUGUUUACAUGGGAGAUUCUUUCAAAAAUAACAACAGUCCUUGUGGAGAUGGCAGGGAUUCCUGUGGUCCUAGACCCCUUGCUGACACUUCAUCAUCCUCAAGUUCAAGAUCCCAUCCUAACGGGAUAAGCCAACAUUUCCCAGGAGGGAUGUGAGAAAGCAUAAGUAACAAGAGCCAUUGAGAUCUCAGCUUGGGGCAGGCACAUGAACUCGUGUUUAGGAGAUCAGAGUAGGAGUAUCUCAAGGAAAACUGAAUAAGCACUUAUUGAGAGCCUGUUAUAUAACAUUUCAUUUGAAGAAAGUGUUCUGCUAAAAAAAAAUAAACAAAAUAAGGCUAUUACAUAAACCACUGUGGUAUAACAUUCUGACAGUUGGAACAGCUAUUUUUUUUUCCAGAUUCUGACAUGGUCUAUGAGCUAACCAGGAAAGGCAGUAUAGCUGCAGGUAAAUGCACGGACUUGGGCCAAACAGAUCUGGUUUCAGCUUCCAGUCAUCCCAGCUGCAUGAUCUUGCCCAAGUCACUGUAAGACUCUAUUUCAUCAUCUGUAUAAUGCAGGGGGUGGGAGGAUAGAUAAUACUUAACUCACUAGGGUGACCGUGAGGAUUAUAAGAUAUAUGUAGUGUCUGGCACACAUUAGACACCCAAUAAAUGUUAACUGUCAAUAAAAAUAUUUAUGACACAAUUAAUACAAAUUAUUUUAGAGAAACUAGAACAUAAGUAUACGUAAAUGUUAGAGGAAACAAUAUUCAUAAUCCCACAGCCUUUAAAUAUUUAUUGUGUAUCCAUCUACACCACUUUUAUGUAGAUAUGUAUAAGCUUAUAAAUAGAUGUGAAUAUAUGAUAUAUACACUUACAUAAUCUGACUUUUUCUUUAAUAAUUUACAUACUGAACACUACUUCAUAUUAAGAAAUGUGUGGGCUGACUCCUUUU
rnacentral:lncRNA from 1 species